rnacentral:misc_RNA from 1 species
UUUAUGUGUGUGUGCGUGUG